CGGCCGGCGGCAUGGCCAGGUGCCCCGGGCGGAUCAGGCAGCACGCCCGGCUGAACAGCACCAGUGCCCACGACAGCGACAGCAGGCACAGGCCGGCGCAUGCCGCCACUGUGGAGGCAGAUGAAUGGGGAGAGGUGGCGUCUUACCCGGGGAGUCUAGUUCCACGUCAGUGACGGCCAGGACGUAGGUCUGCAGCAGGGUCUGCGGUAGGGUGAGGACCAGGGCCUCCAACAGGCGGAGAGCGGACACAUCAGCCUGCUGCAUCACAGCCGCCCCCAGCUCCCCCGCAGUGCCCUGCAUGUCCCAUACAGACACCAUGCAGUCCCACAACCUGCCAGAAGGUGGAGACAAAGACCAACAGCUGUGAGACAGAACUGAUGGUCCUUUCCCGGCCGGUUCCGGCACCUAUGAUGGAUGCAGGACCAAACCAGUGGAGUACAGCUUGGCUCGACUCCACUCAGUAGUGUGAAAAGAUUUUCAUCAAGACUGGACAAAGCCAUGAACACAGAAAGAUUGGAUGGAGUUAGUCUGAAAAAUGCUAAUCCUAGAUCGAGUUAAAAUCCUAAUCUUAAAUCCAGAGUUAAAAUCCUAGAUCCAUAUAGUGCCUUUGCAGGUAAACGCAGACGUUUGGGUGGAAUACAAUCAGAAGAUAGCUAGCUGGUGGUUCUAUGUGCCAUUUAUCAGACGCUUCUAUCCAAAGGGACUUACAAUUAUUUGUGCAUACAUUUUCCAUAUGGGUUGUCCUGGGAACCAAACCCACUACCCUGACGUUGUAAACGCCAUGCUAUACGAGCUGAGCUACAGAGUACCAGUUUGUCUUUUUAUCCCAGUCGAGGGAAGAUAAAGUUGAAGUUUCCCAACAUUUCUUAUCUUCACUUUAAAUCACCAGUGAUAUCAUAUUAUAAAUUGGGUGGUUCGAGCCCUGAAGGAUAAUUGGCUGACAGUCGUGGUAUAUCAAAACAUUUAUUUUUACUGCUCUAAGUAUGUUGGUAACCAGUUUAUAAUAGCAAUAAGCAAUAAUGAAUUAGAACACAAAUAAUUCCAUCUUCUCUAGAACUGUACACUGAUUGGCCAACAUUGAUAGAUGACAUUUCACAAUGUGUGUAUGGUACGCACCACCUCCGAGUGGAAUGACUGUCACAACGGACAGUGACAGCUCACUCUGAAACCAUGAAACUAUGAAACUGACGAAGCAGAAAAUACACUCUGAAACCAUGAAACUAUGAAACUGACGAAGCAGAAAAUACACUAUGAAACCAUGAAACUGACAUAGCAGAAAAUAAACUCUGAAAUCGAUGCAUGAUGAUUCAAAGCCACACAGCUGUGGCCUCAUGAGAAAACAUCGCCAAAUGAACUUUAGAGGAAUAGGGUGAAAUCUGUGUCGUGAGUGACUAAAAACACAGGCUUUCAGAAACUUCAUGAAAGCCUACAACUCCAAUAUCACAAUCUCUGUAUCCUUGUAAGACUGUCACACCAAAUUAAACAAAAUAAGACCUUUUGAAUGAGA